AUCGAAGCCCUAAAUCCAUUAUCUGAGUGUGUAGCCUAAUCACUACCAACACAGACAUCUUCAUCUGCUUCGAUAUCCGUCGCGGAGUCAUUUAUCACACCGCGACGCAACUCAUGGAUGCCCCUUAAAUUAUUAUCAUAUAGUGCUAGAUAUACAUACUGAUUGGACGCAGCAGGGGGAACACUGGGUCUUUACAUCGACUGACUGCGAGGGGGAGACGCUCCAUCGCGCGCAGGACAAUAUCUAUCUAGACCCGGAGACAUCUCCGUUCUUUUGAAAAUAAAAAAUAGCCACCUUGCUUGUACCGUUGGCGGUCGGAAGAGUGUGAGAGAGUGCCUUUCUUUUGCUCGUUUUGUCACGUCAAGGAGACUGAAGUUUACGGAGGCAGUGGUUCUCUCGGCGCAAAUAGGCUACAACAAUCGUAACUCGAUCUCCCCCCGUUUUGUGUCGUCUGUGGUUGGUAGGGUCCUCAGUAGUUACACAUGUGUGGUUGUCACUGCUGGACGGUGUCAUGCUCGAAUCCUCUGCUUCUUUCACUGCGCUGUCCUUUACUGUUGAGUGAUCAGACAGUCUUCACUGUUGUUCCAGGGCAGUGAAUACCUGUCAACACCACGUCGGCGACAUUGGUAUGUUUUAUAUUUCCAUUGAGCUACGGGACUAUCCUAUCGUUUUGAAAUAGCUGGAGUGAGAGUUGUGUUAGCCAGCACCUUUAUUUUACCACCGACUAUUCCAUUCAGAAAACAGCGACGCAUUCCCUAGAAGUUGGAGCAUCGUUUGGUGAAGUUUUGACACACCGGUACUGAACAACAAUGGGAUUCUAAUCGGACAAAUCCACACCAGUUAUUGAUUGCGCUGUAGACAUGUUUCAUUUAGGGUAUCCCAUGCGGUGUCGGGGCACGUUGGGGAGCAUCGGUGCGUGGAUGCAGAGCCCCCAGUAACAACACACAGCCAGGCUGACAUGUUGCUAACCCUCCCCUGGGAGAGGCACUCUGGAACAGCCCCCUGAUCCCUCAUUGAUGCCUUCCUCCAAUACAAGGCCUUAGGCAGGGGUUCAUUAUAAGGGACGUCUCACAGGCGUGCGGGCAGGCAGGCAGGUAGGUGCGCGCGCACACACACACACACACACACACACACACACACACACACACACACACACACACACACACACACACACACACACACACACACGCACCAUGGCCUGACCUACAAACACUACUGAAUUGCUGCAAGCCAGGGGAUGAACUGAGCUUUCACAUAACUACUGUGCUGUAUGAAUAUGUCUGUGUGAAUACAGUAUGUGACUGUGACUGUGUGAAUACAGUAUGUGUAUGUGACUGUGUGAAUACAGUAUGUGUCUGUGACUGUGUGAAUACAGUAUGUGUAUGUGACUGUGUGAAUACAGUAUAUGUAUGUGACUGUGUGAAUACAGUAUGUGUAUGUGACUGUGUGAAUACAGUAUGUGUCUAUGUGACUGUGUGAAUACAGUAUGUGUCUAUGUGACUGUGUGAAUACAGUAUGUGUCUGUGACUGUGUGAAUACAGUAUGUGUCUGUGACUGUGUGAAUACAGUAGGUGUAUGUGACUGUGUGUAUAGAGUAUGUGUCUGUGCCUGUGUGAAUACAGUAGGUGUCUGUGACCGUGUGAAUACAGUAUGUGUCUGUGAAUGUGUGAAUACAGUAUGUGUCUGUGACCGUGUGAAUACAGUAUGUGUAUGUGACCGUGUGAAUACAGUAUGUGUCUGUGACUGUGUGAAUACAGUAUGUGUCUGUGACGUGUGAAUACAGUAUGUGUCUGUGACCGUGUGAAUACAGUAGGUGUCUGUGACUGUGUGAAUACAGUAGGUGUCUGUGACCGUGUGAAUACAGUGUGUGUCUGUGACUGUGUGAAUACAGUAUGUGUCUGUGACCGUGUGAAUACAGUAGGUGUCUGUGACCGUGUGAAUACAGUAUGUGUCUGGGACCGUGUGAAUACAGUAUGUGUCUGUGACCGUGUGAAUACAGUAUGUGUCUGUGACCGUGUGAAUACAGUAUGUGUCUGUGACUGUGUGAAUACAGUAUGUGUCUGUGACGUGUGAAUACAGUAUGUGUCUGUGACUGUGUGAAUACAGUAUGUGUCUGUGACCGUGUGAAUACAGUAGUUGUUUGUGACUGUGUGUGAGCAAGCAGACAGUGUUGUGAACUUCUUACCUGCUAGAGACUGCCCUCAGAGAUCUACUGGACUUACCAAUGACACAUUCAUGAAGAAUGUCACGGAUUCCAUCUUGCCGAAGUACACAACACAAGUCUAGGCUGGGAACGUGCAUCAGCACAAGUGACAACACCAUGACAGUACCAUGGCAACCGCCAGACAACAACAACUUUAAGUGACCUUUGCCUUCAGGACACGUAACCCUGACGACAACACACUCAUAUAUUAUUAACACUCAUUGCAUAUUCAUUUAUUUGUAUAUAUUCUUAUUCUAUUCCUUUACUUAGAUUUGUGUGUAUUAGGUAGUUGUUGUGGAAUUGUUAAAUUACUUGUUGAUAUUGCUGCACUGUCGGAACUAGAAGCACAAGCAUUUAGCUAUACUCACAAUAACAUCUGCAUGUGACCAAUAACAUUUGAUUUGAUUUUGAUAUUUGAUUUGAAUUGAACAUUGUUCCUUUGUUCUGGUUUUCUGUGGGAUGAUUUCAGUCUGAUUUGGUGAAACAUGAUUCCCUAUUCAGAUUGUGUCUGCAGGCAGGGACGCAGGCAGAAAGACAGCAUGUCAGGGAUGCAGGCAGAAAGACAGCAUGUCAGGGAUGCAGGCAGAAAGACAGCAUGUCAGGGAUGCAGGCAGAAAGACAGCAUGUCAGGGAUGCAGGCAGAAAGACAACAUGUCAGGGACGCAGGCAGAAAGACAGCAUGUCAGGGAUGCAGGCAGAAAGACAGCAUAUCAGGGAUGCAGGCAGAAAGACAGCAUGUCAGGGAUGCAGGCAGAAAGACAGCAUGUCAGGGACGCAGGCAGAAAGACAGCAUGUCAGGGACGCAGGCAGAAAGACAGCAUGUCAGGGACGCAGGCAGAAAGACAGCAUGUCAGGGACGCAGGCAGAAAAACAGCAUGUCAGGGACGCAGGCAGAAAGACAGCAUGUCAGGGACGCAGGCAGAAAGACAGCAUGUCAGGGAUGCAGGCAGAAAGAUAGCAUGUCAGGGACGCAGGCAGAAAGACAGCAAGUCAGGGAGGCAGGCAGGCAGACAGGCAGGGAGGCAAUCAGACAAGCAGGCAGACAAGCAGACCAGGCAGACCAGGCAGGCAGACCAGGCAGUGUGUUACUGACCAGAUAAAUGAAAGGUUAUCUAAGAUCAGAGCCCUCAGCGAUUGCUGUAUGUCCUCCUUCAGCCUUGGAGAGAGACAUAAUGUAGAGGGAGAGGACAGGCGAGGAUAGUAGAGGAAGGUCAGUCUUGGAGAGAGACAGAAUGUAGAGGGAGAGGACAGGAGAGGAUAGUAGAGGAAGGUCAGUCUUGGAGAGAGACAGAAUGUAGAGGGAGAGGACAGGCGAGGAUAGUAGAGGAAGGUCAGUCUUGGAGAGAGACAUAAUGUAGAGGGAGAGGACAGGAGAGGAUAGUAGAGGAAGGUCAGUCUUGGAGAGAGACAGAAUGUAGAGGGAGAGGACAGGAGAGGAUAGUAGAGGAAGGUCAGUCUUGGAGAGAGACAGAAUGUAGAGGGAGAGGACAGGAGAGGAUAGUAGAGGAAGGUCAGUCUUGGAGAGAGACAGAAUGUAGAGGGAGAGGACAGGAGAGGAUAGUAGAGGAAGGUCAGUCUUGGAGAGAGACAGAAUGUAGAGGGAGAGGACAGGAGAGGAUAGUAGAGGAAGGUCAGUCUUGGAGAGAGACAGAAUGUAGAGGGAGAGGACAGGAGAGGAUAGUAGAGGAAGGUCAGUCUUGGAGAGAGACAGAAUGUAGAGGGAGAGGACAGGAGAGGAUAGUAGAGGAAGGUCAGUCUUGGAGAGAGACAGAAUGUAGAGGGAGAGGACAGGAGAGGAUAGUAGAGGAAGGUCAGUCUUGGAGAGAGACAGAAUGUAGAGAGAGAGGACAGGAGAGGAUAGUAGAGGAAGGUCAGUCUUGAGAGUUGUUAGGUGUUUUACAGACACUGAGACCGUGUAGAAAGCUAGCAUUAUACCCUGCUAUCUGACACCAGUUAUACUCCGUGUUGCCAAUUUCAAAGGAAGGCCCUACUUUUCCUGUCCUCUGAAAGACUAUACGCACUAGGGCCAGGGUAUUGGCCAUUACUAUUUGUCCAUGCUUGCCUCAUCACUGUCAUUAUCCCUAUUCAGAUGGGAUUAGUUUUACUGUGCGAGGUCAUGUGAUGAAGGCUGGGGGGCAUUUAGGACGUACUGCAGAUUGAUAAAAAAAUAGGAAUAAUUAUGAUCACACUUCCUCAAUUGAAAUAUUAUGGCGACACUAUAGGAAAGAUGGUUUGGUUUAGAAACGUGGGAACCGAGCUGGAGUUAUCAGUGUAGCCCGUUGUCGCCCGGACUUGUUGAAAUAUCUUCACGCCUAGAAAAAACCCUCCAGGCUUCCGUCAGAACUGUCCAUUUAUUGAAACAAAUAUGUAAGAAUUACAGGGGCAGUUUGGAAAAAAACGAGUCCUGUCCGAAUCGUCCUCUGGAAUAACGGACAUUCUGGCCUCGUAAAUACAUAACCAAGGUUCUCUAGUAAUACUAGUCCUGUGAAUGGGGUUAUAUACCCAUGUUGAUGUAGUGGCAUCUAUCAUUGUUUUUAUAGUGUCUCAGUAGCGUCUAUCAUUUGCUAUCUCACAAGUGUUGAUGUGAACUCUUCUUCACUUUCAAGUCAAGGCGUAGAACCGAAGCAACGAGGUAAAUCAACGGUCUAAUUGAGGUUAUUAACACCCACGCCUGAACAGUAAACAUCCACGGUUCACUGCUGUAGUUGAUGCAGGAUGAUUGAGAAACCUUCUAUAGUUCUGACAAGCUGCUACAAUACUAUUUAGGAGAGAACUGAGCACACCACACACCACCACACACCACACACCACCACACACCACCACACACCACACACCACACACCACACACCACCACACACCACACACCACCACACACCACACACCACCACACACCACCACACACCACACACCACACA